UCCAUUGGUGUAUUGGACGGCACAUCGGUUGUAACAUUUCUCUGCAAUGGCUGUAUAAAGAUGGAAACCUCUUACCAAUAAUAAUAUAUUUCUGUAUGAUAACAAGGAAAAAGCUAUUAAGAGAGCAACAAUGUUCAAUGAAGCUACUGUCUCCUCAGGUCACCAAUUCUUUACUCUUCAUCAUCAACUAGCUCCCAAUUCAGGACUAAACUCGGUCAUUGCUUUUUCAUCUAAGGUUCAUAUUUGUGCUGAAUGGUGGUGGCAAUGGGUUCAGCUUGCUUCCAAUGGUACUCUAUAUCAAAGUGCCAAAGGAUAUGAUUUUAAGUCAGCUGCAGAAAUGUUUGCAAUUAAGAAGACUUCAGAAACAUUAAAUCUAUCAAACAAAAGUGGUAUGAAAAAGUUUGCUGCAAUCCGCAAGAACAUAAAGAAAGGAAAGAAUUGUCCGAUUAAGUACUGCCACAAGUGCCUCUUGACUAGGUACGGGGAGAAUGCUGAAGAGGUCGCACAGUUGGCUAAUUGGACAUGUCAGAAGUGUCGAGGCAUUUGCAACUGUAGUUUUUGCCAUGGGGUUUCUUUUCGAUUUUCUAUUUACUUUUUGAGUUGGUAUUGUAUCCAUAAGUUCAUUUUGAUAAAGGAGUUAUGUUUGUAGAAAGCGACGAGGUGAACAACCUACUGGUCCCCUAUAUUGUAGUGCCAAGAAAUCUGGCUUUAAGUCAGUUACAGAAAUGCUUACAAUGAAGAAGAAUUUAGAAACAUCAAAUCUAAUAAAUAAGGGUAAUCUGAUAAAGGAGCCUGAAGUAUUUCUCUCAGGGAAACUUGGAAAUGAAAAUUUUUCAGAUGCAAAUGUCACUGAAGUUUGCACCAAAGAUGAUGGUGGUGAGAAUUUUGGAAUGAACUCAGUGCCAAAACAAUUGCAAAGGAAAAAGAGGUUCAGAAUGCGUUGCAGAUUUUAGAGUUUUGCAGAGUGUUUGGAAAGGCUCUUGAUCUCAAGAAAGGAGAAGCUGAAGCUAUUUUUAAAGAAUUGAUCAGGAAAGAAUGUAUGGAUGAAGACAUUAGAUUGUUGGCAUUGAUCGUAACCAGUUCGAAAAAAAAGUCUCCAUCCUUAUCAACCAAGAAAGAAACUGAUUCAUGGUUGAAACGUUUAGAGGAUUUGAUUAUGCAAUCAUAUCACCUUCUAAAUGAUUUCUCUUCGGAUUGGUUAUAAAUGUGAUACUAUAAAUUUGGAUUUGUUUAAGAAGUUUAAACUUUGGGACGAAGCUUUGAACACUGAAAAAAUAAGGAGCUAUAUUCAGUACGAAAAUUCAAGACAUGCAAAAGUAGUGAAAGAAGCAAAACUUAAGAUUGAUGUAGCUAAGGAAAAGGUAAAAUGUCUUACACAAAAGUUGAAGAAUGAGAAGGUCAAAGUAUCUCCAUUCGGAUGGAGAGCAUGAUGCUCUUAUAAAGAUAAGAACUGAGGUUGAUAAAGCACAUAUUGAGAUGUUCAUGAGCCACGAGUCAAAAAUGUAUGUCAUGAUUAAUUGAUUAUGAAUUAUAUAUUGGCUAAAGUCCUCCACUUUCAUCUUUUUAGGUCAAAAUAUUUUGGUGUGGUACAAAAAUCCAUGGUUCAAAGCUAUCAAGUUGUAAAUCUUUAUAUGGUGGCCAUUUUUAUCAAAGUUAGAGUAGGUUCCUCCUUUGUUUUUGGACUCAAGAGACCUUCAUUAUUGUAAUUAUUGUAUAUAAAUUUUUUGUAUUUUAUUUUAGUGGAAUACAAACUGAAAUAAUUUUUUGUAA